rnacentral:misc_RNA from 1 species
GGGUUACUGGCACUGGUUGCACCAGAGGUGAACCCAUCGUUUUGGUACGACAUCCUGAAGUCGGAGCUGCUUUAACUUCAGUACAAAUCUUUGUUGAUGCUGUUCCGGAUAGAUCACUUCGUGUGGAGUUGAGCCCAACCGUAUCUUUUGUUCCACCGGCGACUGCUGCGGCAGAGGCUCUUAGACCGACGCAGGGUAAUGCAACGCCGCGCGAUGGCGCAAUCC